rnacentral:rRNA from 1 species
UAAUACAUGCAAGUCGAGCGGACCGACGGGAGCUUGCUCCCUUAGGUCAGCGGCGGACGGGUGAGUAACACGUGGGUAACCUGCCUGUAAGACUGGGAUAACUCCGGGAAACCGGGGCUAAUACCGGAUGCUUGAUUGAACCGCAUGGUUCAAUCAUAAAAGGUGGCUUUUAGCUACCACUUGCAGAUGGACCCGCGGCGCAUUAGCUAGUUGGUGAGGUAACGGCUCACCAAGGCGACGAUGCGUAGCCGACCUGAGAGGGUGAUCGGCCACACUGGGACUGAGACACGGCCCAGACUCCUACGGGAGGCAGCAGUAGGGAAUCUUCCGCAAUGGACGAAAGUCUGACGGAGCAACGCCGCGUGAGUGAUGAAGGUUUUCGGAUCGUAAAACUCUGUUGUUAGGGAAGAACAAGUACCGUUCGAAUAGGGCGGUACCUUGACGGUACCUAACCAGAAAGCCACGGCUAACUACGUGCCAGCAGCCGCGGUAAUACGUAGGUGGCAAGCGUUGUCCGGAAUUAUUGGGCGUAAAGCGCGCGCAGGCGGUUUCUUA